ACAGAGGGGACAAGCGUUAUUCGGAAAAAUUGGGCAUAAAGGGCGAGUAGGCGGUGUCUUAAGUGAGAUGUGUAAUCCCCGAGCUUAACUUGGGAACUGCAUCUCAGACUGGGGCGCUAGAGUGCUGGAGAGGGUGUUAUAAUUCCACGUGUAGCGGUGAUAUGCGUAGAGAUGUGGAGGAAUACCAGUGGCGAAGUCGGCAACGUGGCCAGUCUCAUACGCUGAGGGGCGAAUGUGUGGGGAACAAAUAG
rnacentral:rRNA from 1 species